UACGGGGGGGGCAAGCGUUGUUCGGAAUUACUGGGCGUAAAGGGCCAGUAGGCGGCCAACUAAGUCGGAUGUGAAAUCCCCAGGCUCAACCUGGGAACUGCAUCCGAUACUGGAUGGCUUGAAUUCGGGAGAGGGAUGCAGAAUUCCAGGUGUAGCGGUGAAAUGCGUAGAUAUCUGGAGGAAUACCGGUGGCGAAGGCGGCAUCCUGGACCGACAUUGACGCUGAACGGCGAAAGCUAGGGAGCAAACCGG
rnacentral:rRNA from 1 species